rnacentral:lncRNA from 1 species
GCCUCCCAAAGUCCUGGGAUUACAGGAGUGAGCCACUACCACCUUUUAAUCACGACCAAACAUCACCUUUUAAUCACAAUCCUGAGAGGUGUGACCCUGGCAUUGCCACGUGCGAGUCCCCCUAGGAAACCAAGGCUACGCUGGGAGCACUGUGGGGCUGUUUAGGGACUCAAGGCCAUGCCACGUCCUGACUCUGCGAUGCCUCCCAAGGGUGAGCAGUGGGUUCUUGCCUUUGCCACAAAAGAUGCUGCCCUUGGGAAUACCAGGAUGAGUUAAUGAUUUCUGAGCAUAUUUCCUAAACUAUGUUCCAAAGAGCACCACAGCUAGAGGUUUGAAAGGAAUUUAGGAAAGAUCUUACGCAUAUUCCAUUUCCUCCUCGGAGUAACAUCAGCGUAUGAAAUGCCCAGACAAGUCCUGUGCGGAAGAGAAGCACCCACCCUCCCCCUCUGUCAGCGGACGGGACCCUCAUGGCCCCAAGGGAGGCUAGUCCACGUUCACCACACACGCAUUCCUAGAAGUGGUUUUUAACGUAAUCAUUUAGGAAUAUUUUUGUAAAUAAUUUUCUGAUUAUCAAAACCAUAAUUACAGGAUUUUAAUUAUUUUAUGGAUAUGCAGGUUGAAGAGACUGGGUUUUGAUGACUUUGAUGGGGGAGGGAGGGAGGGAGAGAGAGAGAGAGAGAGAGAUUGAUUUAGUUUCUGAGGAGACAAACACUAGGGUUAAGAAGGAUUAGAAGGCGAUUUUCCUGCAUUGAAAUAGUUUUUUUUUUUUUUUUUGAGAAGGAGUUUCACUUUGUCGCCCAGGCUGGAGUGUAAGGGCAUGAUCUUGGCUCACUGAAACCUCUGUCUCCCGGGUUCAACCGAUUCUCCUGCCUCAGCCUCCCAAGUAGCUGGGAUUAUAGGCACCCACCACCAUGCCUGGCUAAUUUUUGUAUUUUUAAUAGAGACGGGGGCUUCACCGUGUUGGCCAGGCUUGUCUUGACCUCCUGACCUCAGGUGAUCCACCCAACUUAGCCUCCCAAAGUGCUGGGAUUACAGGCAUGAGCCACCGCUCCCGGCCUCUUGCACUGAAGUCCAAAGGCCAGAAGAACCCGGAGGCUUUCGGCGUUUCCGCCUUUGCCUUCCGAUGUCCAUUCCCAUCUGAGCAGUCAUUUCUGCUUAAUUCCGCCAUUACUUCCUCCCUUGAUGCUUCUGAAACUGUCUCCUCAGCAGAUGAUCCCUGCAUUAGUUGGCGGAGCUGAUGGUGUUCCCUGUUUUACCCUGUGGUCUCAUUUCCGGAUGCUGCUACCAAUGCCCGUCUCUAUGGCUCCCUGCCCACGUGUGCAGCCCCGUCACUGAGAGGGAAGUGGCUGGAGAGGUGUCCAGAUCAUUGUGAAUGAAGUCAUCUGUGAAACCAUGGGAGAGAGAUUUGAUAUCUGCUUCCCUUUCAAAUGAAAGGAAAAGAGUGGGGUGAGAGAGGGCGGCACUCCCCAGACAGGCCCUGACCACACCCUGGCCCCACGCCUCAGCAGAACAACUCUGAACCUCUAUGGACUCACAGGGGCGAGGUCGGGGCAAGGAGACUCAGGGCCUGCGCUGCUCACCGGGUGAGAAGUCACAGCUGGUUAGGAGGCCACAGGUAAGCAGAGGUGCGAGCCACCAGGGACGGGGUGAGUUAUUCACAGGUGAAUGAGCUAGGACGAGGCAACAGCACGCAGGCCACGCCUCGCCAACCCAUGGGUCCUCAACAGGAUUUUGGUGACACGCAACACCCCUCUGGCUCCUGCUCUGAUCCAUGAUGGUGAGGGAGGUUCCCACGGUCACGCGUGUGCUGGGAUUCUGCUCUUUACGCCGUCCCCGGGCAACACAGACAUCAGCUCUUCUCUCCUCCAGCUGAGCAAAUGUAAGCUGUCCAGGAGAAUCCAUCCCAGCUGCUAACAAAAUCUUCAGACGAGAGUCAGUCUGAUUCGGAGUGGAAUGAAAUGAGCAUUCGGCAAUACCUCCGUGUGCCAGUGCAGCUGAGUUCUCGGUAAACACAAUAUUCCGAGGUGAUACUGAGCUCUGCGUCCUCAGAUUAAAUGUAUCUCCUUCUUAGAUUUGCUCGUGCACUUUACGGCUUCUGCAAAUGACAGCCUCGGCGCUGCAAAGUAAUUCCACACUGUCAUAUUUGUCUUUGGAAAUUGUAACAAAUUAUGGUGAUUUAUAACAUCAAACUCAACUCCCAUUUUUCCCCAGACGGCAAUGUCGCUGAUGGCGAGAUUCCGGGCCAUCCAUUUAUCCUGUGUGGAGGCUGACAGGGACGCAUGCCUCAUCUGCUGCCAAGACACUGGGUUCCCUUGAGGGGACUCUGUCGACAUAACUCACCCUGUCCCGGGUGGCUCGCACCUCUGCUUACCUGUGGCCUCCUAACCAGCUGUGACUUCUCACCUGAUGACUUGGAAUCCUGGCCUUUUAGGAUAGAAAGAGAACACAGAGAUCCCGGCCCAUCAAGCAGGCCCCAGAAACAUGGGCAGCAGCAGGAGAGUGCCCAAGCUCCUGGCAGGGUGGGUCCAACCCUGUGUCGUGCCCCUGAUUCAGGCGUUGAAGCCUCAACUCCAGAUGCUGGCAUGAGGAGGUGGUUCCUGGGGAGGUGAUUUGGGUUAGAUGGGGUCCUGAGGGUGAGGCCCUCACGAUUAGAAGAGAAAGAGACCGGGCUCUUGCUCUCUGCCACACGAGGACACAGAAAGCGCCAUCUACAAGCCAGGAAGGGGCCUUCAUGGCAAUCCUAGUGGGCUGGAUCUUGGUCUUUGGUUUCCAGCCUUGAGAACUGAGAAAUAAAC